rnacentral:rRNA from 1 species
UACGGAGGGUGCGAGCGUUGUCCGGAAUCAUUGGGCGUAAAGGGCGCGUAGGUGGCCCGGUCAGUUCGUGGUGAAAGCGCGGGGCUCAACCCUGCGUCGGCCAUGAAUACUGCCGCGGCUGGAGCACUGUAGAGGCAGGCGGAAUUCCGGGUGUAGCGGUGGAAUGCGUAGAGAUCCGGAAGAACACCGGUGGCGAAGGCGGCCUGCUGGGGCAGUUGCUGACACUGAGGCGCGACAGCGUGGGGAGCAAACAGGG